rnacentral:rRNA from 1 species
UAAGGGCGCACGGUGGAUGCCUUGGCACUAGAAGCCGAUGAAGGACGUUACUAACGACGAUAUGCUUUGGGGAGCUGUAAGUAAGCUUUGAUCCAGAGAUUUCCGAAUGGGGAAACCCAGCAUGAGUUAUGUCAUGUUAUCGAUAUGUGAAUACAUAGCAUAUCAGAAGGCACACCCGGAGAACUGAAACAUCUUAGUACCCGGAGGAAGAGAAAGAAAAUUCGAUUCCCUUAGUAGCGGCGAGCGAAACGGGAAGAGCCCAAACCAACAAGCUUGCUUGUUGGGGUUGUAGGACACUCUAUACGGAGUUACAAAGGACGACAUUAGACGAAUCAUCUGGAAAGAUGAAUCAAAGAAGGUAAUAAUCCUGUAGUCGAAAAUGUUGUCUCUCUUGAGUGGAUCCUGAGUACGACGGAGCACGUGAAAUUCCGUCGGAAUCUGGGAGGACCAUCUCCUAAGGCUAAAUACUCUCUAGUGACCGAUAGUGAACCAGUACCGUGAGGGAAAGGUGAAAAGCACCCCGGAAGGGGAGUGAAAUAGAACCUGAAACCGUGUGCUUACAAGUAGUCAGAGCCCGUUAAUGGGUGAUGGCGUGCCUUUUGUAGAAUGAACCGGCGAGUUACGAUUUGAUGCAAGGUUAAGCAGUAAAUGUGGAGCCGUAGCGAAAGCGAGUCUGAAUAGGGCGUUUAGUAUUUGGUCGUAGACCCGAAACCAGGUGAUCUACCCUUGGUCAGGUUGAAGUUCAGGUAACACUGAAUGGAGGACCGAACCGACUUACGUUGAAAAGUGAGCGGAUGAACUGAGGGUAGCGGAGAAAUUCCAAUCGAACCUGGAGAUAGCUGGUUCUCUCCGAAAUAGCUUUAGGGCUAGCCUCAAGUGAUGAUUAUUGGAGGUAGAGCACUGUUUGGACGAGGGGCCCCUCUCGGGUUACCGAAUUCAGACAAACUCCGAAUGCCAAUUAAUUUAACUUGGGAGUCAGAACAUGGGUGAUAAGGUCCGUGUUCGAAAGGGAAACAGCCCAGACCACCAGCUAAGGUCCCAAAAUAUAUGUUAAGUGGAAAAGGAUGUGGCGUUGCCCAGACAACUAGGAUGUUGGCUUAGAAGCAGCCAUCAUUUAAAGAGUGCGUAAUAGCUCACUAGUCGAGUGACACUGCGCCGAAAAUGUACCGGGGCUAAACAUAUUACCGAAGCUGUGGAUUGUCCUUUGGACAAUGGUAGGAGAGCGUUCUAAGGGCGUUGAAGCAUGAUCGUAAGGACAU